UUUUCUCAAGCUGAACGUGAUUUAGAUGCUGAAAAAGGUAUAUAUAUACCCACAUAUAUAACGAAAAUAUUUAGCUUUACAUCUCAAAAUUUGUUUAAUUGUUCAUAUUAAAAAUUCAUACCAUUUGCAUUCGUAGGAAAUUCAGAAAUACAAAAUGAAGAGCUUCGUUUUGUGGAAGCUUCAGCUAGUUGCUCUUCAAUUAUUUCCGGUGAAUCAAAAUCUCAACCUAAAAUUUCAAAGAAACCCAACGCAAAGCUUAUCGAUUUUUUCAAUCGACCGACGAUUGAUACGGUGUCAGAAAACAGAUCUGUAGAUGCGGAACUACAGUCACCUGUAUCAUUAUUUUUAUCAAAAUUCCAUAACGAAGCAAGUGAUUUAGUAGAAGUAUACCAGUCACCCGUUGUUUCUAAUGACCUUAAAAAUCUCAUUGAAAACCAGCCAGAAGACUCAGCUGUUGAUGAAUGUACACACAGUAACUCCAUUGCUUCGACAGAUUCGAACUCAGAUACUUUUGGUGUUUUGGAUGACAAAAGUAAAGUAGCCAAACCUAUCGGUAAGUCUUAUUUUUAAAUAUGAUUAUAAGAAAUUGAUAUAUCUAUAGGCAUAGAUUUUUAAAAUCUAAGUCUAAAGUUCGCAAUAUUUGAGUAGACAUCAAGUUUAUAAUGCAAGAAGAAAUAACAAGCAAAGUCAAGGCCAGGUUCUGUAAACUUAACCGUCUGUUUUGGUAGAUUUCGCAGCAAAUUGUUAGUGUACAUCUGUACUAUCAAUCUCAUACAUACGACAUCUUGCUCAUGAAACCAAUGCCUUAUCUCCUGAACCGUCAACCCAGCCAAGAUAUGAAUAAAUAAAUCGAAUAAGAGUGAGGGAAUUGAGCCCUAACUAUAUAACUAUAUUUCACAUGUUUACGGCUCGAACAUUAAACUUAAAAAAAGUUUUUAUUUUUAGUUG